GAACUGGAGGGGGGAACAUUCCUAUGGAAAAUAACAUGCAAGUCGAACGAGCUUCCGUUGAAUGACGUGCUUGCACUGAUUUCAACAAUGAAGCGAGUGGCGAACUGGUGAGUAACACGUGGGAAAUCUGCCCAGAAGCAGGGGAUAACACUUGGAAACAGGUGCUAAUACCGUAUAACAACAAAAUCCGCAUGGAUUUUGUUUGAAAGGUGGCUUCGGCUAUCACUUCUGGAUGAUCCCGCGGCGUAUUAGUUAGUUGGUGAGGUAAAGGCCCACCAAGACGAUGAUACGUAGCCGACCUGAGAGGGUAAUCGGCCACAUUGGGACUGAGACACGGCCCAAACUCCUACGGGAGGCAGCAGUAGGGAAUCUUCCACAAUGGACGAAAGUCUGAUGGAGCAAUGCCGCGUGAGUGAAGAAGGGUUUCGGCUCGUAAAACUCUGUUGUUAAAGAAGAACACC
rnacentral:rRNA from 1 species